rnacentral:rRNA from 1 species
AGCGAACGCUGGCGGCAGGCCUAACACAUGCAAGUCGAACGGACCCUUCGGGGUUAGUGGCGGACGGGUGAGUAACACGUGGGAACGUGCCUUUAGGUUCGGAAUAGCUCCUGGAAACGGGUGGUAAUGCCGAAUGUGCCCUUCGGGGGAAAGAUUUAUCGCCUUUAGAGCGGCCCGCGUCUUAUUAGCUUGUUGGUGGGGUAAUGGCCCACCAAGGCUACGAUCAGUAGCUGGUCUGAGAGGAUGACCAGCCACAUUGGGACUGAGACACGGCCCAAACUCCUACGGGAGGCAGCAGUGGGGAAUCUUGCGCAAUGGGCGAAAGCCUGACGCAGCCAUGCCGCGUGUAUGAUGAAGGUCUUAGGAUUGUAAAAUACUUUCACCGGUGAAGAUAAUGACUGUAGCCGGAGAAGAAGCCCCGGCUAACUUCGUGCCAGCAGCCGCGGUAAUACGAAGGGGGCUAGCGUUGCUCGGAAUUACUGGGCGUAAAGGGAGCGUAGGCGGACAUUUAAGUCAGGGGU